rnacentral:lncRNA from 1 species
UAUAUCACCACGUAGGUAUGAAAAUGCAGGACAGAGUCAAGCUAUGCCAACAUCUUCAAUUCAUACAUGUGAAAAAUGAAACCCAAGAAGGUCAACAGAAGGGGCACUGGCCUGGGAAUCAGAAAGGAGAGCAUGUUUUCUUCUGUUCCCAUGAACUUCAGAAUGAGCCACAUCUUUACGCAAAGCCUCCUCUGCCACUUUUAUGUGUGACCUUAGGUAAGUUAUCCUCUUUAUCAUACAGAAAAAUAAAACAAGUUCUUUGAUCUCAAACAACUACAGUAAAUCAGGCACAGAUGGGUAGGCAAAGUCCAACAGGAGGAGUUGGUGUUAAGUGACUCAACUUUCUUCCCAGCACCAGGAUCAUAGUAUAAUUAUAACUAAGAGAGUAGAAUUUACCACUUCAGUAGGGGAAAGGCUCCCCGUGCUUUUUCACAGCUUCCAAAGUUGGUUUGAUGAUUAUGGGGGAGGAGAAGGAAACUGGGACAACACCUUCAAUACUAGAUAGUAUUUAUCAGUCACUCAGAGCUGUCCACCAUGCUUACAGCUUGGUGUAUAUUAUUUCAUUCAAUCCCCCAAUAAUCCUUUAGAUUAUUAUUUCAGUUGUAUACAUGAGAAAAUUGAACUUCAGAAAAAUUAAGGGACUUGCCCAAAUCCCACUAGAUUUAGCACCAGGCUCCAAACUAAUAGCAAACUAGAGAGCUCUUAUGUGAACAACCGUAUUACUGCAGCUUUCCCAGUGUAGUUGCCAUGACCAACUCGGGGCUCUCCAGUCCAAACAAGGAGGUCGUGCUAAUCCAUUCAUACAUCUUAACUCCCAGGAAUCAUUUCCAUUCCCCAUGGAGAGAAUUUUGGAAAGCAAAUUCAACAAAUUUUGCAAGGUACUGGGGGAAAUGUGGCUACGACACAGACAUAAAAGACAACUUUCCUGUCCUCUAAGAACUUAUAGUUUAGCAUGAAAGUGGUAAGUAAACAGACAACAGCAAGUUAGACAUCUUAUUCAGAGAUAUAUUUGAGCAGUGCACAUGUACAAAGAAGGGGGAACAAAAUGAACAGGGAGGGAGACAUUGAGGAAAAGCUGGGGUAGGAGGGAGAGAAGGAGGGAGGCAGGGAGGGAUCGAGGAAGGGAGGAAUUGAGGGAGAUAGUGAGGAAGGGAGGGAGGGAGGAAGGAAGGAAGGAAGGAAGGAAGGAAGGAAGGAAGGAAGGAAGGAAGGAAGGAAGGAAGGAGCG